rnacentral:lncRNA from 1 species
AUGACACGUGUAGCUGCCUGGCUUAUUCGUGCACAGCUGAUCACAAUAGCUUUGCUCACACUCAUCAAUAUCAACACACAUCUUUGUACUACCAUUGUAGUGAUCCAGAACAAAGCCAUCGGGGCAGUAGCAGGUAUCCUGUGUAUGCGGAUCACAGUCUGCUGGGCAUUCAGUCUGGUUGCAAAAUUGGACACAUUUGUUGGGGUCCUGGGGGGAUGGGGCGUAUCCGCUGAAGCAGCUGCACUUGUAACCCCCGGGGACAUCAACACACCAGUGGUGACAUUUCUCUUCGUAGCAAUCGAUCACGUCCUCACAUUUGCCCUCCACCAGCUCAUAGCCCGAGUGGCACUGGCAGCGGAAGCCCCCGUCGGUGUUGAUGCACACUUGGUCACAAAGGUCCGGUUUGGUUUUACAGUCAUCGAUGUCUCUGCAGCUGAUGCCAUCCUCAGACAGCUCAUAGCCCUCGUGGCACAUGCAAGUGAAGUUCACGGUGAGUGGGAUGCAGUGGUGCUCGCAGGGGGCGUUGGCACACAGGGAAGAGCAGCUGCGUUGGUCCUGGUCCAGCUGCUUCCCAUGGGGGCAGGUGCAGCGCGGGGUCCCGCCAUCCCACUGGCACGAAGCCUCGCACCCGCCAUUCUCCAGCUGGCAGAGCCAGGCCCCGGGGCUGACGGAGCUCCACCGCAUGCCCCCGCUGCUGUGCUCCUGGCACACCAGCUCCACGCCCAGGGCCGGGACCGAGGCAGUGGUUUGGGGAGGGAGGACCAGGAGGUCACUGUCCUGCGCCCCGAAGGGGGUGGUGUAGGUCACCGCCACGCCUGCCCCGGGGGAGAGCUUGGGGCACGUGCCGGGGUAACUGUACUCACACAGGAAGCCGUCUGCUUCGGAGUCACACCGCUUCUCCUCCCAAGUGAGCUCCGGGGCCGCCACGGAGACACAUUGGGACCCGCAGACGCGGCCGCCCGGCCUCCAUCGGGUGUAGUCCGUGCGCUCGUCGCCCGUGACCCAGCGGAACCCCCGCAGCGGGCGGGCGGGGUCCGAGCACGCCUGGCCCGCGGGCAGCUGCAGCCCGAUCCACAGGCUGGCGUCGCUCCGGUUCCGCACCAGCAGGGCGAUGGCGGCCUCCGCCACCGUGGAGCGCACCGUCAUGAGCUGCCCCCCGCCGGCCUGGCAGAGCCGGCCGGCGCCGGGGAACCGCUGGCGCCCCCAGAACACGCCGAAGCAGACGUGCUCGAGGCACUGAACGCCCGCGGGCUGCGGCGGGGCGGGAGCCGAGCGCCCGAGCUGGGCCGUGGCCACCAGCGCCAGGCAGAGCCGCAGCAUGGUGCGGGGCGGCGGAGCUGA